rnacentral:rRNA from 1 species
GAUGAACGCUGGCGGCGUGCCUAAUACACGCAAGUCGAGCGAACAGAUGAGGAGCUUGCUCCUCUGACGUUAGCGGCGGACGGGUGAGUAACACGUGGAUAACCUACCUAUAAGACUGGGAUAACUUCGGGAAACCGGAGCUAAUACCGGAUAAUAUAUUGAACCGCAUGGUUCAAUAGUGAAAGACGGUUUUGCUGUCACUUAUAGAUGGAUCCGCGCCGCAUUAGCUAGUUGGUAAGGUAACGGCUUACCAAGGCAACGAUGCGUAGCCGACCUGAGAGGGUGAUCGGCCACACUAGAACUGAGACACGGUCCAGACUCCUACGGGAAGCAGCAGUAGGGAAUCUUCCGCAAUGGGCGAAAGCCUGACGGAGCAACGCCGCGUGAGUGAUGAAGGUCUUCGGAUCGUAAAACUCUGUUAUUAGGGAAGAACAAAUGUGUAAGUAACUAUGCACGUCUUGACGGUACCUAAUCAGAAAGCCACGGCUAACUACGUG